AUUGAACGCUGGCGGCAGGCCUAACACAUGCAAGUCGAGCGCGAAAAUUCCUUCGGGAAUGAGUAGAGCGGCGGACGGGUGAGUAACGCGUAGGAAUCUGCCCGGUAGUGGGGGACAACAGUCGGAAACGACUGCUAAUACCGCAUACGCCCUAAGGGGGAAAGCAGGGGAUCUUCGGACCUUGCGCUAUCGGAUGAGCCUGCGUCGGAUUAGCUUGUUGGUGGGGUAAUGGCCUACCAAGGCGACGAUCCGUAGCUGGUCUGAGAGGAUGAUCAGCCACACUGGGACUGAGACACGGCCCAGACUCCUACGGGAGGCAGCAGUGGGGAAUAUUGGACAAUGGGGGAAACCCUGAUCCAGCCAUGCCGCGUGUGUGAAGAAGGCCUCGGUUGUAAG
rnacentral:rRNA from 1 species